rnacentral:rRNA from 1 species
CCUACGGGAGGCAGCAGUGAGGAAUAUUGGUCAAUGGCCGUAAGCCUGAACCAGCCAAGUCGCGUGAGGGAUGAAUGCCCUAUGGAUUGUAAACCUCUUUUAUAAGGGAAUAAAGUUUGGCACGUGUGCUAUUUUGCAUGUACCUCAUGAAUAAGGACCGGCUAAUUCCGUGCCAGCAGCCGCGGUAAUACGGAGGGUCCGAGCGUUAUCCGGAUUUAUUGGGUUUAAGGGGAGCGUAGGCGGGCCUUUAAGCUAGCGGUGAAAGUUUGUGGCUCAACCAUGGGAUUGCGGAGGGAACUGGAGACCUUGAGUGUGUGGAAGGCAGGCGGAAUGCGUGGUGUAGCGGUGAAAUGCUUAGAUAUCACGAAGAACCCCGAUUGCGAAGGCAGCCUGCCGAAGCGUGACUGACGCUGAAGCACGAAAGCGUGGGUAUCGAACAGGAUUAGAUACCCGAGUAGUC